rnacentral:tRNA from 1 species
GCAGUGGUGGUUCAGUGGUAAAAUUCUUGCCUUUCAUUUAGGAUGCCUAGGUUUGAUUUCUGGCCAAUGCG